CAGCAGCCGCGGUAAUACCGGCGGCCCGAGUGGCGGUCACUAUUAUUGGGCUUAAAGCGUCCGUAGCCGGGUUGGGAAGUCCUCCGGGAAAUCUGGCCGCUUAACGGUCAGAAUGCCGGAGGAUACUCCCAGCCUAGGGGGCGGGAGAGGCCGAGGGGAUUCCCGGAGUAGGGGUGAAAUCCUAUAAUCCCGGGAGGACCACCUGUGGCGAAGGCGCUCGGCUGGAACGCGUCCGACGGUGAGGGACGAAGGCCAGGGGAGCAAACCGGAUUAGAUACCCGGGUAGUCCUGGCUGUAAACGAUGCGGACUUUGUGUCGGACAAGCUAUGAGCUUGUCCGGUGCCGGAGGGAAACCGUUAAGUCCGCCGCCUGGGGAGUACGGCCGCAAGGCUGAAACUUAAAGGAAUUGGCGGG
rnacentral:rRNA from 1 species